AUUGAACGCUGGCGGCAGGCCUAACACAUGCAAGUAGAACGAGUGGCGGACGGGUGAGUAAUGUCUGGGAAACUGCCUGAUGGAGGGGGAUAACUACUGGAAACGGUAGCUAAUACCGCAUACCAUCAGAUGUGCCCAGAUGGGAUGAGCUUGUUGGUGGGGUAACGGCUCACCAAGGCGACGAUCCCUAGCUGGUCUGAGAGGAUGACCAGCAACACUGGAACGGAGACACGGGCACGACGCCGACGGUAGGCAGCAGUGGGGAAUAUUGCACAAUGGGCGCAAGCCUGAUGCAGCCAUGCAGCGUGUAUGAAGAAGGUCUUCGGGUUGUAAAGUACUUUCAUCGGGGAGGCGUUACCCGCAGAAGAAGCACCGGCUAACUCCGUGCCAGCAGCCGCGGUAAUUC
rnacentral:rRNA from 1 species